rnacentral:lncRNA from 1 species
CCAAGGGCCACCAUGAUGACAUCCCCACACCACCAACUCGGCUUCCAAAUCUCAGAUCAGGCCUCAAAGACUUCGACCCAGGCCCCCAAACCAGCUCCGGACCUGGCUUCUCCCUCAGCCUCAGAUUACGACUUGACAUUGGACACAGCCUAAGUCAAACAGUAGCUACCCCCAACAGCUCAGCAGACCCAUCUGACUGGCCCUCAGUUUGUUCCUGGAGUCUAGCUCUCAGCAUGUGGACUGGGUGACAAAGUCAAGCAUUUAGCCAUCUGUUCUUGGUUAUUGUCUGCAGUGGCAGGCCAAUAACCCAGCAUUCAGCAGCAGAUGUAUGGAUGGGCCACAAGGCCUG